rnacentral:rRNA from 1 species
AUGCUCAAGAGAAGGCAUUACAAAGUCCAGAACGAUGACUACACCUGCCUUCUCUGCCACCACCCGCCUGAGGAAUACAUAGUGCACCUCUUCUUUACCCGCCCCUUCAGUCAGAGAUGUUGCGAUGCAUUGGGGAUACAAUGGCCAAAUGACACUUAUUGGAUGAGAAUGCUACAUGAGGGCAAGGCCAGAUGGGCUCGGCCAAUGUUCUUGGAAGUUUUUGUAGUGGCAGCCUGGGGGAUUUGGAAGGAGAAGAAUGAUAAACACUUCAGAGGGAUCCAACCUUCAUUUGACUCUUGGAGGAGCAGAUUCAAACUGGACUUUGCCAUGCUGGUUCAUAGAUCCAAGCAAGAGCAGGGUCCUUACAUUUUAUCCAUAGCUAGCUCGCUUUGA